AGUAUAAUCAUCGCUUAAAAACACAACUACACUCCAUCUCACAAGUCAUUUGCAGCACUGUGGAACCUGCAAGACUCCUUAGCCAACCAGAAGGCCCCGAAUGCCCCU
rnacentral:lncRNA from 1 species